rnacentral:rRNA from 1 species
CUACGGGAGGCAGCAGUGGGGAAUCUUGCACAAUGGGCGCAAGCCUGAUGCAGCCAUGCCGCGUGAGUGAAGAAGGCCUUAGGGUUGUAAAGCUCUUUCGCUAGGGAAGAUAAUGACGGUACCUAGUAAAGAAGCCCCGGCUAACUCCGUGCCAGCAGCCGCGGUAAUACGGAGGGGGCUAGCGUUGUUCGGAAUUACUGGGCGUAAAGCGCGCGUAGGCGGACUGAUUAGUCAGAGGUGAAAUCCCGGGGCUCAACUCCGGAACUGCCUUUGAUACUGUCAGUCUAGAGACCGAGAGAGGUGAGUGGAAUUCCUAGUGUAGAGGUGAAAUUCGUAGAUAUUAGGAAGAACACCAGUGGCGAAGGCGGCUCACUGGCUCGGAACUGACGCUGAGGUGCGAAAGCGUGGGGAGCAAACAGGAUUAGAUACCCCUGUAGUC